GGAUAUAACAGAAAAAAAAUAGGGAAAAGGUGCUUUAGCUGCUUGUCUAGGUGGUACAUCAUGUCAUCUGCCCCUGUGUGACUCCCAUGACUUUGUGUUAUUUCCUGGUUUAUUUUGAAAUGACUUUAUUUGUUGUGUCCAUUAUGGUUUUGCUUCCUGUCUUUGUGUGUUUUUCCCUCCAGUGUUUCAUCCCCUCACCUGUUCCCACUUACCCAAUCAGCAGUCAGCCAGCCUCUCCACACCUGCACCGUAAUCCCUAAUCAACUUGGACUAUAUAUACAAGCAGCAUUUCUUUGUUCUCUGGCCAGUUUGUCUGAUUUUUUCCUUCAGGUAUCUUGUGCUUCUGCUUUAGGAUUUUGCAGCACUUUCCUAGUGUUCCUGCCUCUAGUGUAUUUUGAGGUUUUCUCAUGUUCUUGCAGACUCGUCUAAAGAUCACACCGACUUUCAUCUAACAUUUGAGCUCAUCUGCCACAGCUCAGAGACAGAUCCAACUAUCACUGUCACCAAGAACAAAAACGGGAGCACAGUCGGUCCAAUGGCAAAGACCUGUCUUGGAAAAGCUGAAGCGCGAGCCUUUAAGUCAUAUUAAUGCAUUUUGUCGCUCCUGGCUUGAGUAUUUUCCCUGGACAACAUCAAACUGUUACCAAAGCAUUUGACAACAAGCAGAACAACAGAGUAGAUUCAAAGUGACAGAUGAAAGAAAGCAAGGAAGCAGCAGCAGAGGGUGAAAAAGGGGAAGACGAUGUUCUCACAGGACUGUGACUCACCCUCAUGGCCAACAGCACCAAUACAUAUCUCUCCAUCUCUCAUUAAGUCUUAUCUUCAGGCGAAAGGUGGACACAGCCGAGGUUUGGUGUAGAAGAACUGGCACAACACACUGCCUUGCUCUCAACCACAAGUAAGACCUUUUGGAUGCAUUUUAUCACUGCUGUGAGCCAGGCUUCAUCACCCAUCUACAAGCACUAAAGCUCUUGAGGCUAAUGCCUGCAGCCAGAUCCCAAAAUCUUGUGGAAAGAUUUCUCUGAAGACCAGAGGGUGUCAGAGCUGCAGAUAAAUGCCCAUGGUUUUCAAAUCAUAUACAGGUAUAUAUAUAUAU